AUACCAUAAUCUAAAGGGACGAAGUGCUGGCUUGCAAACCCAGAAUAGUGAGUUCGAGUCUCACAUGGUAUUCCA
rnacentral:tRNA from 1 species